UACGAGGGGGGCGAGCGUUGUUCGGAAUUAUUGGGGCGUAAAGGGUGCGUAGGCGGCUUGUUAAGUCAGGGGUGAAAUCCUGGAGCUCAACUCCAGAACUGCCUUUGAUACUGGCGAGCUUGAGUUCGGGAGAGGUGAGUGGAACUGCGAGUGUAGAGGUGAAAUUCGUAGAUAUUCGCAAGAACACCAGUGGCGAAGGCGGCUCACUGGCCCGAUACUGACGCUGAGGUGCGAAAGCGUGGGAGCAACAGG
rnacentral:rRNA from 1 species